CCUACGGGGGGCUGCAGUCGAGAAUCUUCGGCAAUGGGCGAAAGCCUGACCGAGCGACGCCGCGUGCGGGAUGAAGGCCUUCGGGUUGUAAACCGCUGUCAGUGGGGAGGAAAUGCUGGAGGGUUCUCCCUUCAGUUUGACCUAUCCGCAGAGGAAGUACGGGCUAAGUUCGUGCCAGCAGCCGCGGUAACACGAACCGUCGGAACGUUAUUCGGAAUCACUGGGCUUAACGUGUGCGUAGGCGGCGUGUGAAAUCCCUCGGCUUAACCGAGGAAUUGCGCUCAAAACUGCCAGGCGAGAGGAAGUCAGAGGUGAGUGGAACUUAGGGUGGAGCGGUGAAAUGCGUUGAUAUCCUAAGGAACACCAGUGGCGAAAGCGACUCACUGGGGCUUUUCUGACGCUGAGGCACGAAAGCUAGGGGAGCGAACGGGAUUAGAUACCCGAGUAGUU
rnacentral:rRNA from 1 species